rnacentral:rRNA from 1 species
UACGUAGGGUGCGAGCGUUGUCCGGAAUUACUGGGCGUAAAGAGCUCGUAGGUGGUUUGUCGCGUCGUUUGUGUAAGCCCGCAGCUUAACUGCGGGACUGCAGGCGAUACGGGCAUAACUUGAGCUGCUGCUAGGGGAGACUGGAAUUCCUGGUGUAGCGGUGGAAUGCGCAGAUAUCAGGAGGAACACCGAUGGCGAAGGCAG